rnacentral:rRNA from 1 species
CGGGACGGGUGAGUAACGCGUGGGUAACCUGCCCUGUACAGGGGGAUAACAGUCAGAAAUGACUGCUAAUACCGCAUAAGACCACAGCACCGCAUGGUGCAGGGGUAAAAACUCCGGUGGUACAGGAUGGACCCGCGUCUGAUUAGCUGGUUGGUGAGGUAACGGCUCACCAAGGCGACGAUCAGUAGCCGGCUUGAGAGAGUGGACGGCCACAUUGGGACUGAGACACGGCCCAA